UUCUCCGUUUACCAUUUUAUCCAUCUCUUUUGUUGUGUUUGCUUUAGUGGCACCAGCCAUUUUUUAGCCAACCUGGUUGUCCAGUUUAAGAUAAAGCCUCUUCUCACCCACAACCUGGUAUUCAUCUUUUUUUUUGUUGCGGCCUUGAGCCGGGUCGUAACAGAAUUGGGGGCUCGUCCGGGAUACAUUCGUCUUCGCUGGAGGGUCCGGAGGACCGCUUCAGCAUUCUGUUUCAGCUGGAGGGUCCGAGGGGCCUGUCCAGCCUUCAUUCGUCUCCGCUGGAGGGGUCCAAGGGGCCUGUCCAGCCAACAUUCGUCUUCGCUGGAGGGUCCGAGGGGCCUGUCCAGCAUUCGUCCGUCUUCGCUGGAGGGUCCGAGGGACCGCUUCAGCCUUCCGUUUCCGCUGGAGGGGUCCAAGGGGCCUGUCCAGCCAACAUUCGUCUUCGCUGGAGGGUCCGAGGGCCUGUCCAGCAUUCGUCCGUCUUCGCUGGAGGGUCCGAGGGACCGCUUCAGCCUUCCGUUUCCGCUGGAGGGGUCCAAGGGGCCUGUCCAGCCAACAUUCGUCUUCGCUGGAGGGUCCGAGGGGCCUGUCCAGCAUUCGUCCGUCUUCGCUGGAGGGUCCGAGGGACCGCUUCAGCCUUCCGUUUCCGCUGGAGGGGUCCAAGGGGCCUGUCCAGCCAACAUUCGUCUUCGCUGGAGGGUCCAAGGGGCCUGUCCAGCCUUCGUCCGUCUUCGCUGGAGGGUCCGAGGGGCCUGUCCAGCCAUCAUUCGUCUUCGCUGGAGGGUCCGGAGGACCACUUCAGCAUUCUGUUUCAGCUGGAGGGUCCGAGGAGCCUGUCCAGCCUUCAUUCGUCUCCGCUGGAGGGGUCCAAGGGGCCUGUCCAGCCAACAUUCGUCUUCGCUGGAGGGUCCGAGGGGCCUGUCCAGCCUUCGUCCGUCUUCGCUGGAGGGUCCGAGGGGCCUGUCCAGCCUUCGUCCGUCUUCGCUGGAGGGUCCGGAGGACCGCUUCAGCAUUCAGUCUGCCUGCAGAAUAGCGGCCAGUGCCUUGUGCGCUGGUCCUCCAGGACUACAGCAUUCAUGGCUCUCUAGGUCAUGA
rnacentral:lncRNA from 1 species